rnacentral:rRNA from 1 species
UACGGAGGGUGCAAGCGUUAUCCGGAUUCACUGGGUUUAAAGGGUGCGUAGGCGGGUUGGUAAGUCCGUGGUGAAAUCUCCGAGCUUAACUCGGAAACUGCCGUGGAUACUAUCAAUCUUGAAUAUCGUGGAGGUAAGCGGAAUAUGUCAUGUAGCGGUGAAAUGCUUAGAUAUGACAUAGAACACCAAUUGCGAAGGCAGCUUACUACGGGAACAUUGACACUGAGGCACGAAAGCGUGGGGAUCAAACAGG